CACUCCCCCCUCCCAAAAAAAAAGAAUGCUUGCUGGUCUUCCAGAGUUCAUUUUCACCAUAUUAGGCGGCUUACAACCUGUAACUCCAGCUCCAGGAGAUCUAAUGCCAUCUGAUGGUUUCUGGGGCACUCGUAUACAUGUGGCAUAUUCUCAUACAGACACACAAAAUUAAACAGUCACAAAGUGAGAGGCUGGAGAGGGGCUCAGCAAAUAAAAGCACAGGCUGCUCUUCCAGGUUCAGUUCCCAGCACCCACAUGGUAGCUCACACCUGUCACCCCUAUCCAGGGGAUCUGACACCCUCCUCUGGCUUCCUUGGGGAGCAGGCAUGCACACGGUACACAUACAUACCUGCAGGUAAAACACACAUGCAUAUGAAAUAGUAGUGACCAGGUGGCUUGCUGGGCAGGCAGACUUUUGAGAAUGCCACCUUCUGUUUGGGGACCUACUCAGAACCAUAACUUGUUGAGUGUUCAGAAAAUGAAUCAGGGAAUCCAAUGAAGUGUAUGCUAUCUCCAAAUCCAAACUUACUAGGCAGUGUGCCUCUUUUUUAGUGGUAGGAGUGGACCACAGUAACCUGUCCUUCACCUUGAAAGGGGUAGAUUAGGCCAUCAGGAUGACUUGGAGAGGCCAGAUGUUGUCCAAAAGUGCACUUUAGUCCCAAAACCUGGAAGGCAGAGGCAGGUGAAUCUAUGUAAGUUUGAGGCCAGCCUGGUCGACAAAGCAAGUUCCAGGACAGCCAGGGUUACACAGAAACCCUUGAAAAACAAAACAAACAAAACAAAACAGAUGGCUUGUUGGCUAUGGACACCUCCUACCAAGCCCAGUGACAUGAAUUCAAUGCCCAGGACCCAAAAGGUGAAAGGAGAAAACUGACUCCUGAAAGUUAUCCUCUAACUUCAUAUGGUGCGUGUACCACCCUCACACAAAAAUAAUAAAAAUGUGA
rnacentral:lncRNA from 1 species